rnacentral:rRNA from 1 species
AAAAUUAAUGUUGAUAGAGCAGUAGGAAGACAUGGUAAUAGAGGUGUUGCGGCUACUAUAUGUCUGGACCAUCUUGGUAAUUACAUGGGCUCAUCGUCUAUCACUUAUUUGGGUAUUAACGGCGUGCCAACCUUGGAGGCCUUGGCAUGCCGUGAGGCUUUGGCUCUGGCCAAAGAUUUGGACAUUUCUCGGGUCCUUGUAUCUUCUAAUUGUGCUAUGGUGAUUAAUGAUAUUGAGACAAAUCAAGGAGGAAGACAUGCAACCAUUAUUCAGGAGAUCCGUGCCAGCAAGUUAGAUUAUUUGGAGUGUGAUUUCAUGUACGAGAGAAGAUCUAGAAAUUACAAGGCUAAUAGCAUAGCUAAAUUUUCUUUAUCUCUAGGUGUAGGUAGACGUGUGUGG